UACGUAGGGGGCUAGCGUUGUCCGGAAUCAUUGGGCGUAAAGCGCGUGUAGGCGGCCCGAUAAGUCCGCUGUGAAAGUCCAGGGCUCAACCCUGGGAUGCCGGUGGAUACUGUCGGGCUCGAGUCCGGAAGAGGCGAGUGGAAUUCCUGGUGUAGCGGUGAAAUGCGCAGAUAUCAGGAGGAACACCAAUGGCGAAGGCAGCUCGCUGGGACGUGACUGACGCUGAGACGCGAAAGCUAGGGGAGCGAACGGG
rnacentral:rRNA from 1 species